UCCGAGCUUGAGAUUAUGCUAUUGCCCUCAUUCAUAUGUUAGUGUUGAUGUAAUGAUGGACUUUUAUAAACUUUGGACUCUAUAUUUUUUGACAAUUUCAUAUAUUGAUGCUAGAAUUUGAUGGACUAUAUGAAUUGAAUUAUAUGGACUAUGGAGUAUCGAAUUAGA